CCCUUUGCGGUGUGUCUGUUCUAACCCUAAAUAUGGAGGCCUCUCUGUACUAAUCGUCUACUGUUUACAUUCUCUGGCUUUCAGUAGAUUACAGAAGGUGUUUGCUCGAAGUGUCGGUGGAAAUGGUUACACAACCAGGGGGAAAAAAGCCGAGAGAGCCACUCCGCCAUAUUCAGUGUCUCGGCGGAAACACCGUGAUUGCUUCCGUGGUCAGCUCGGCUGCCGCGAAGAGUUCGUCUCUGCUGCUCCGGUGUCUUCACGCUGAGAUUUUUCUUGAAACUGAACAGAUUAAGACUGAGCAGGGUGACUUAAGUGGAUCUGUCGUGGCCCGUUUGGGAAUCCCAUGCUCAAACAUUU
rnacentral:telomerase_RNA from 1 species